rnacentral:misc_RNA from 1 species
UUGGGUAGGCUUUGGCCAUAAAUCCCCACCAUUGUGAACGAAGCUUUAGUUGUAGUUGCUUCGGCGGGUGGUAAUACCAAGCCCCUUACGGGGUACCCGCCGGAGGCAAGUAACUUCUUGUCAUUUAUUGUUAUGUCUGAGUAAACUUUUAAUAAGUCA